rnacentral:rRNA from 1 species
AUGCACGCUGGCGGCGUGCCUAAUACAUGCAAGUCGAGCGAACAGACGAGGAGCUUGCUCCUCUGACGUUAGCGGCGGACGGGUGAGUAACACGUGGAUAACCUACCUAUAAGACUGGGAUAACUUCGGGAAACCGGAGCUAAUACCGGAUAAUAUAUUGAACCGCAUGGUUCAAUAGUGAAAGACGGUUUUGCUGUCACUUAUAGAUGGAUCCGCGCCGCAUUAGCUAGUUGGUAAGGUAACGGCUUACCAAGGCAACGAUGCGUAGCCGACCUGAGAGGGUGAUCGGCCACACUGGAACUGAGACACGGUCCAGACUCCUACGGGAGGCAGCAGUAGGGAAUCUUCCGCAAUGGGCGAAAGCCUGAAGGAGCAACGCCGCGUGAGUGAUGAAGGUCUUCGGAUCGUAAAACUCUGUUAUUAGGGAAGAACAAAUGUGUAAGUAACUAUGCACGUCUUGACGGUACCUAAUCAGAAAGCCACGGCUAACUACGUG